rnacentral:tRNA from 1 species
ACUCACUUGGUGGAACUGGCAGACACGACAGACUUAAAAUCUGUUCUUUUUUUCAAAGGUGUGAGUUCAAGUCUCACAGUGAGUA